rnacentral:rRNA from 1 species
AUACGGAGGGUGCAAGCGUUAUUCGGAAUCACUGGGCGUAAAGGACGCGUAGGCGGGUUGGCAAGUCAGAUGUGAAAUCCUACAGCUUAACUGUAGAACUGCAUUUGAAACUGCUAACCUAGAGUAUGGGAGGGGGAGAUGGAAUUAGUGGUGUAGGGGUAAAAUCCGUAGGUAUCACUAGGAAUACCGAAAGCGAAGGCGUUCUCCUGGAACAUAACUGACGCUAAGGCGUGAAAGCGUGGGGAGCAAACAGGAUUAGAUACCCCAGUAGUCC